CUACCAAAAGUUAAUUUUUUAUGGGGAAGGCUUUCUAAAUAACCUUUACCAAUUUGGGCUAUUUGGGAGAGAGAGUAAAGGAAAGACCACACUCCACAGCGGGCUACACCAAUAGUUCACUACUAUUUUGUGGUCUACAUU
ensembl:snoRNA